GUGGGGAAUCUUGCGCAAUGGGCGAAAGCCUGACGCAGCCAUGCCGCGUGAAUGAUGAAGGUCUUAGGAUUGUAAAAUUCUUUCACCGGGGACGAUAAUGACGGUACCCGGAGAAGAAGCUCCGGCUAACUUCGUGCCAGCAGCCGCGGUAAUACGAAGGGGGCUAGCGUUGCUCGGAAUUACUGGGCGUAAAGGGCGCGUAGGCGGACAGCUUAGUCAGAGGUGAAAGCCCAGGGCUCAACCUUGGAAUUGCCUUUGAUACUGGCUGUCUUGAGUGUGGGAGAGGGGAGUGGAACUCCGAGUGUAGAGGUGAAAUUCGUAGAUAUUCGGAAGAACACCAGUGGCGAAGGCGACUCACUGGCCCAAUACUGACGCUGAGGCGCGAAAGCGUGGGGAGCAAACAGGAUUAGAUACCCUAGUAGUCC
rnacentral:rRNA from 1 species